AUGGAUGUCGCCGUCCUGAAUUGGAAUGUGCGGGGAUUGAAUAACCCUGCGAAGAGACGGGCGGUGCAGCUGUUUGUUGCUGAGCAAAAUUGCAAGAUUGUCUGCCUGCAAGAAACAAAAAUUGGUGACAUGACUAGAGGUCUGGUGAUUGAAGCCUUGGGGCCGCGUUUCGCUGAUAAUUUCAUCUCUCUGCCAGCUAAUGGAUCCAGAGGAGGGAUUCUCAUUGCUUGCUGCGACAACCACGAGAUCACAGUUGAGCCGCUGGCGGCCGGGCUGCACUCCGUGUCAGGAAUUGUGAGGAGCGGGGCCAAUGGGAUGUGCUGGUCGAUCACUGGAGUUUAUGGACCUCAAUCUGAGGAGGACAAAGUUCAGUUUAUUGAAGAGUUAAAGAGGAUCAAGCAGCACAUGUUACCUCGCUGGAUGGCGCUCGGAGAUUUCAAUAUGAUCUGUAGAGCGAGAGACAAAAGCAACAACAAUAUAAACUUGCGGAUGAUGGGAAGAUUCAGGGCUGCGAUUGAUGAUCUGGAAUUGAUUGAUUUUCCGCUUUUGGGAAGAAGUUUCACUUGGUCUAACGAGCGCGAAAAUGCCACGCUCACCAAGAUUGACCGGAUCAUGGUGACGGGGAGGCCACCUUUCCUCACUUUCAGUUGUCCCCUGCCUCGACUAGUGUUUCUGACCAUUGCCCGCUGGUUUUGA
rnacentral:rRNA from 1 species